UACGUAGGAUGCAAGCGUUGUCCGGAAUUAUUGGGCGUAAAGAGCGCGCAGGCGGCCCAUCAAGUCAGAUGUGAAAUAACCAGGCUUAACCUGGUGGGGUCAUUUGAAACUGGCGGGCUAGGGUCCAGCAGAGGAUAGCGGAAUUCCCGGUGUAGUGGUGAAAUGCGUAGAUAUCGGGAGGAACACCAGUGGCGAAGGCGGCUAUCUGGGCUGGAACUGACGCUGAGGCGCGAAGGCUAGGGGAGCAAACAGG
rnacentral:rRNA from 1 species